rnacentral:tRNA from 1 species
GCGGGCAUAGCACAAUGGAUAGUGUACCGGCCUCCGAAGCCGAGGAUCUGGGUUCGAU